GUGAAUCAUCGAAUUUUUGAACGCAAAUUGCACUCUCUGGUAUUCCGGAGAGUAUGCCUGUUUGAGGGUCAGUUAAAUAAAAAUCGAUGUCGUUGCUGCCUUGCGUGGUGACGCAUCGGAUUCGGGUCGUCUUACCUUCGGUUAAGUGACCUAAAAGUGUGCAUGAUUUGUUCGAACGUAUUUAAAUGAUUUUACGUACUUUUGCGAUAUCGAAUACUAGGUGUGGUUAUCCUCUUUAUUCGCGCCUAUAA
rnacentral:misc_RNA from 1 species